rnacentral:rRNA from 1 species
AACGAACGCUGGCGGCGUGCUUAACACAUGCAAGUCGAACGAGAAGUACGUAGCAAUACGUAUUGUAAAGUGGCGCACGGGUGAGUAACACGUGGGUAAUCUGCCCUUGAGUUUGGGAUAACCCCGCGAAAGCGGGGCUAAUACCGAAUAAGACCACGGGGACCAAAGUCCCUGAGGUAAAAGGUGGCCUCUAUUUAUAAGCUACCACUUGAGGAUGAGCCCGCGGCCCAUUAGCUAGUUGGCGGGGUAAUGGCCCACCAAGGCUAUGAUGGGUAGCUAGUCUGAGAGGACGAUCAGCCACACUGGAACUGAGACACGGUCCAGACUCCUACGGGAGGUAGCAGUGGGGAAUAUUGCGCAAUGGGCGAAAGCCUGACGCAGCAACGCCGCGUGGGGGAUGAAGGUUUUCGGAUCGUAAACCCCUUUCGAUCGGAACGAAUCUCCUCCUGGUAAACAAUCAGGAGGAUCGACGGUACCGAGAGAAGAAGCCACGGCUAACUCUGUGCCAGCCGCCGCGGUAAGAC